CCCUUAGAUGUUCUGGGCCGCACGCGCGCUACACUGAUGCGUUCAACGAGUAUACAACCUUGAUCGAUAGGUCUGGGUAAUCUUGUGAAUGCGCAUCGUGCUAGGGAUAGAUUGUUGCAAUUUUCAAUCUUGAACGAGGAAUUCCUAGUAAACGCAAGUCAUCAGCUUGCAUUGAUUACGUCCCUGCCCUUUGUACACACCGCCCGUCGCUACUACCGAUUGAAUGGUUUAGUGAGAUCUUCGGAUUGGCGCCACUGCGGCUCAGCAAUGGGCUCGGUGGAUGCCGAAAAGUUGAUCAAACUUGAUCAUUUAGAGGAAGUAAAAGUCGUAACA
rnacentral:rRNA from 1 species